CCUCCUUUCUAGAGAGGUUUUUUGAAGCUCUUACGUUUGUUUUUCUUAUUCUCGAUAACUUUGGAGAUAAAAGUCCUCCUAGCAUUAUUUGUAGGAGGGAUGUUACAGUCCCGUAGCUCAGUUGGUUAGAGCACUACACUGAUAAUGUAGGGGUCAGCAGUUCAAAUCUGCUCGGGACUACUCUUUUGUUUAAUAGAGUCGUCUCAAUUCUUUCCGUUUAUUCUCGGAUCUGAAUAUAGACUAUAAUUAUCUUUAAGAAAAUCUUAAGUAAACUUUUAAUCUUACUAAAGAUUCUCUUUAUUAAAAGGGGGAUUAGCUCAGCUGGCUAGAGCACUUGCCUUGCACGCAAGGGGUCAUCGGUUCGACUCCGAUAUCCUCCACAACAAAGUUCUUUGACAUAUUGGAAUUGAUUGAAGUAGUAAUACAAUAAGAAUCAUAAUAAAAAAACUAAUAAGUUACUAAGGGCACACGGGGAAUGCCUAG
rnacentral:tRNA from 1 species